rnacentral:rRNA from 1 species
CGGUAGUAACCUAGCCUUUCUAGAGGGGGACGAACAGUUGGAAACGAACUGCUAAUACCGCAUAAUAUAUAUGGACCGCAUGAUCUGUAUAUCAAAGAUUUAUCGCUGAAAGAUGGACUCGCGUCUGAUUAGCUAGUUGGUGAGGUAACGGCCCACCAAGGCGACGAUCAGUAGCCGACCUGAGAGGGUGAUCGGCCACAUUGGGACUGAGACACGGCCCAG